UACGGAGGGGGCUAGCGUUGUUCGGAAUUACUGGGCGUAAAGCGCACGUAGGCGGCUUUGUAAGUUAGAGGUGAAAGCCCAGGGCUCAACCCUGGAAUUGCUUUUAAGACUGCAUCGCUUGAACAUCGGAGAGGUAAGUGGAAUUCCGAGUGUAGAGGUGAAAUUCGUAGAUAUUCGGAGGAACACCAGUGGCGAAGGCGACUUACUGGACGAUUGUUGACGCUGAGGUGCGAAAGCGUGGGGAGCAAACAGG
rnacentral:rRNA from 1 species